UGUGGGAGCUGGCUUGCCUGCGAUAGCGGUGGUUCAGUCAAUAAAUGUAUCGGCUGACAGACCGUCAUCGCAGGCAAGCCAGCUCCCACA
rnacentral:misc_RNA from 1 species